UGUGGGGGUCGAUGGAAACGAAAGGCGGAAUUAGGUAACGCGGGCAGGGGAUUCUUUGCUGAUUUCCCUCGGUUAUGUGCUCUGUGGGCUUCACCCAACACUGGGGUUUGGCUGUUAGGUGCAGUUUGAUGUAGAUGUAUCUGCAGCGUCGAAGGGAGCCGUGAGGGGGUGAUCCCUGUGGGAAUUCCCUGCUCUCCUGGCUGCCGCUUCUCCCAGUGUGGUGCCAGAUACAAGCCCUCGGUGUUAGAUUCCAGCUUUAAUCUAAGGUGAAAUGGGAGUUUAUUCCAGUUCAGAGACGAAACACCACACUGCUUCCUGCCCAUUUGCCUUCCAAAGCCCCCUUUUAAGUCACAGGUCCCAAAGCACUGUUGCCAACAAGUUGAUUCUGGAGUCAGGAUAACGUCGUGUGGGAGCUAAUCCUGAACCUAUCAGCCAGCCAAGUAAGAAACUAAGCCAGCUAUCAAGUGGAAGCACGGGGAAAUAAGAAAGGUUAUAUACUUUCUCAUAACCUACCACCAACACUCUGUAGAGACAGCUGAAAGGACCAAACUUUAGACAAGAUGAAGACAGGGUGCAACCGAUGGCUAGGAUUGGGAAAAAGCAUCUCAGACAGGUAUGGCAGCACAAGUGAGAAAGCAAGACUUUUUCCGCAGAGGUUAAGAACAGAAAGAUCAUCUUCUGAGAGCUGUGGAAGAAAAUAAGAGAUGGAGCAAGUUCAGAGGAAGACCUGCUUCCUAGCUCCCAUACACACACCCAUUCUACGUGGCACUGGAUAUGUCAGUUCUCUGAUUAACCAGAUAUAGCUGCUUCAUGGAGGCAUCUAAGGAAACUGCAGAUUCAAAGGUGGGAAGGUUAAGGAGUGAAUGUUGUACAGCCCAUACAUGUUUUUCUACUGAGAUCCUGUUUAUUAGGAAAGGAGUAGCUGGACAUGCAAUCAGAAUACUGAACUGGAAAAAUGUAAAGCCUUCUAACUGUAUUUCUGUAACUCUGCAUAAAUGCCAGGGAAAUCGUAAAAGGUAAUACAGCUGCCUCUAAA